GCCUAGACAAUCCGCUAGUUUUUAGCUUUAGGUGGCGUAUUUCACACACCUCAAGUCUUAUUGAGAGGGCUUUGGAAACUACCAUAGAGGCUUUAGAGGCUCAUGAGGACCUCACCUCGCGCUCGUUCCCUGAGUAUACUAGAUUUAUUGCAGGCCACCGAUGUUGCACUUUUUACAAGUUGAAAGCAAGACUCUCCACCAGCAAAAAGAUUGCAACUGGCUUUAUUGCCGGUAGUCUGGAACCCAAUCUGCAAUAUCUCUGAGGCACAAAGCUGUCGGUUGCUGAAGUCUCUUAGGAUGGAUGUCAGUGACCUUAUUAUGUAUAUGGCAUGCUGAGCUUUCUCUCCAUGGCUUGGGGUUUGAUGUCAGUAGCUUCUGGGCAACUUUGAUCAAUGAACAUAAAUAAUGGGAAAAUUAAAGCCAAAAAAUGGUGAUCUGACCCCAGGAAUACAUACGGAGAAACAAGUUAAUAUUAUGAUGCUAAACUUCAACAUGGCCUUAUGGCCUUUGAUUCAGCCUUCAGAGGAUAAUGUAAAAUGGACCUCAAAACCACAUUUCAAGUGAACCCCAGGAAGGUCUACAUUCAGACUUCUAAGGAACCAUAUCUAGGCCUGUUUAACUGCUGUGUCUUCUUACCAGAAGUAAAGGAACUUGAGAUUUCAUUCUCAUUCCCUGGAUAUCUUCUCCAAUGGGAGGGACAAGCAACUUUUGGCAUAUGCCGACCUCUGGAACUUGCUGGAUGGUUUGCAUUCCUUCCCCAGAUAGUUGAAUAUUUUUCAUUUUUCCUGCAUUCAUUAUUUCUAUAAACAUGCAGUAGGUGCCUACUAUGUACCAGGCACAGAGCUGAGUUCUAGGGAAUCCUGAUGUCAACAAAAAUUCCUUGCUCUUAAAGGCUCUCAGACUAAUGGGGGAUAUAGUGAUAUACGAUAACAGAAUUAUAUUAACCAGUUAUUCCCUACCAACCAAUCACUCUUUUUUUAAUUAGAUUUUUUAAAAGCAAAGCAACAACACAGUUAAAAAAAUCAAAAUCAAAUAAGACCACAUGGUUUAUAAUAAAGCUUAAAAAGUAAGGCUUAUAACAAAAUGACUUUCAACUUUUCAGCUAUUUCUAUACAUGCUUAUCCCCACAAUGCUAAAUAACAAUGGCUAUCUAUUGAUUUUUAAAUCUUAGAUGUUUGUCUACUGAAUUCCUACUAGGUAGAUGAUAAUUUAAUUCUCAUAAGUACUACUACAAACCCUAUACUUCUCUUCCCCCAUUUUGUUGAUAGAGUCUUACUAAAAUUGUUAAUAUUAAUUAAUAAUUAUUAGCAAUUACAACUAAUAUUCACUAUUAUUAAGCUCACUUAAAUAUUAUUCAUCGCUAAACCACAUAAUGCACUAUGAUUGUGUCUUAUUUUCUCUGGAGUUAAAAAUUGAUUGGUUAUUUAUUUGCUUAGUUUUCUACAUAUUUAUCACCAGCUCAGCCUCCUGCAACCUGGGCUGGUAGAGGCUGUCCCAGGACAAUUCUUCACUUUAAACUCCCUUCAAAUUCAUUUUGGGAAUUUCGUUAGUCUUUUUCGUAUUUCCUAGAUGCCAUCCUUCCCUUGUCGUAGUUUUCUCUCCUGUUUAGGAGGAGCACGUUUUCUAAGAGCUGCCUGAGGAAGUGCAUGUGGGGUGUAAAUUUUUUUGAGAGCUUGCAUGUUUAAAAAUUUAAAAAUUGACUAAGUAUAUAAUUCUAGAUCAAGACUAUUUUUACCUUGAAAAUUUGAAGGCAUUAUUCUACUGUGUUCCAGAUUGAAAAGCCUGAUAAUCCUGAUUGCAUUUUGAUUCCUGGCUCUUUGUACUCUCUUUUCCUCUGUAGAAGACAUUAGGAGCUCUUUAUUCCUAGUGUCCUAAAACUUUUAAGGAUGGACCUGGGUGAGGUCAGUUUUUAUCCACUGUGCUGGCAUUUGGAGACAGUUUGAAUCAGAAAACUCAGCUCUGAAAAUUUUUUCUAAUAUUAUUUUAAAGUUAACUUUAUUGAGUUAUAAUUUAUAUACAACAAAAUGUAUUCAUUAAAUGACUAAACCAUAUACACCCAUAGAACAGCCACCAUAACCAAGCCAGGUUUUCAUCAUCCCAAAAGAUUCAUUCAUGGCCCUUUCCAAUCAGCCUCCCCUCUAGCCAUCAUUGAUCUGCUGUUACUAUAUACAUUUCUUUUUCAAGAUUUUCAUUUAAAUGGAAUCAUAUAGUAUAUACUCCUUUUUGUCUGGCUUAUUUUGCUCAGUAUAAUGUUUUGUUAAAUUUGUUCAUGCUGUUGUGUGCAUCAGUAGUUCAUUGCUUCUUAUUGCUGAGUGAUACUCCACAGUAUAAAUAGUUUAUUUAUCUAUUUCCCAUUUGAGGGAAAUUUGACUGUCUCAAAAAUUACAAAUAAAGUUAACUAUAAAGAUUUGCA